rnacentral:rRNA from 1 species
GGGUGAGUAAUGUCUGGGAAACUGCCUGAUGGAGGGGGAUAACUACUGGAAACGGUAGCUAAUACCGCAUAACGUCGCAAGACCAAAGAGGGGGACCUUCGGGCCUCGUGCCAUCAGAUGUGCCCAGAUGGGAUUAGCUAGUAGGUGGGGUAACGGCUCACCUAGGCGACGAUCCCUAGCUGGUCUGAGAGGAUGACCAGCCACACUGGAACUGAGACACGGUCCAG